GCCGAAGUGGCGAAACUGGUAGACGCGCAGCGUUCAGGUCGCUGUAAGGGCAACUUUGUGAGGGUUCAAAUCCCUCCUUCGGCA
rnacentral:tRNA from 1 species